UCCCCUGCAGUCAAUCAGAGAGGUGACGGGCUACGUGCUGGUGGCUCUGAACCAGUUCGACUACCUGCCGCUGGAGAACCUGCGCAUCAUUCGGGGCACCAAACUCUACGAGGGCCGCUACUCCCUCGCCAUCUUCCUCAACUACAGGCGGGACGGGUACUACGGCCUGAGGCAGCUGGGCCUCCGCAACCUCACAGAGAUACUCAACGGGGGUGUUUAUGUUGACCAGAACAAAUUCCUGUGCCACGCCGACACCAUCCAUUGGCGUGACAUUAUCAAGAACCCCGAGGCCGAGCUGCUGGUGGUUCCGUCCAACAACAGCAACCUGGGAUGCAGACGCUGUCAUCGCUCGUGUAAUGGACGCUGUUGGGGGCAUCAAGAAGACCAAUGUCAGACCCUGACAAAGACGGUGUGUGCAGAGCAGUGUGACGGUCGCUGCUUCGGGCCUUACGUCAGUGACUGCUGCCAUCGCGAGUGUGCCGGCGGCUGCUCGGGUCCCAAGGACACAGACUGCUUCGCUUGCACCAACUUCAACGACAGCGGAGCGUGCGUGACCCAGUGUCCUCAGCCGUUCGUGUACAACCCCACGUCCUUUCAGUUAGAGCACAACCCCAGAGCCAGGUACACGUACG